rnacentral:lncRNA from 1 species
CGAACGUCCGCAAGUCUCUGUUUGAAGAUCCCGCCGAGGCGGGGCAAGGAGGACGCAGGAUCGACGGUGGCGUUGUAGUCGAACGUUUUCUGGAAAUCCUGCAGGAGAGACUUAAAGGGCUCAGAAUCCAAGAGCUCGGGAUCCGACCCCCCGGACCGAAGGAGGGAGUCAAGGGGCCCGUCAGGCGGAGGACCAGAGUGGCUAGCUUCGGGAGAGUCCAAGUCCUCGAUAUGGGCCGUCCCCAUGGCAGUGGCGACCGACUUACGUUUCUCGGCCUGAGCCUUCUUCCUUUGUCGUCGUUCGAGCCGGUUUAAAUCGUAGUCACUGAUAGUACAAGGUCCGACACACAGACCAUAGUACUAAAAGACGUAUCCCAAAGUAUCUAAUACGCAGAGGAGGGGGGAGUACUGGUGAUACAGUAUUCCGAACACGGUCACAACCUACCAGCAACUAGAAGUCCGGAUAGCCUAAGAUGAGUUAAGGUAUCUAUUCUAGGGUUGGGGAGGUCCCAGGUCGAAUCCU